CCAAAGGUUGUUUUGUUUGUGCUGUUCCGUUGUAGUGUCUGUACAAAUAUUUGAAAGAAGACACUUUUUUUGCUUUUCUGUUCUUGUUUCUUCUCUCAGCUAUGGAAGAGAAUUCUGCUGCGGAACAUCAUUAUUACUACCCUCUUCCUGCUUCUGCUCCAAAAGUUGAUCCCAACCUCAGUGAUGAUGACAAGGGAGGAACUUGUGCAGAAGAAAGUAGCAUUCACAACAAACCCAGCACAUCACAGGGUAAUCCUGGCAUCAACAAAUAUGCUCUUGGUGGUGCUAUCUUGGCUUCUACAAACUCCAUUCUCUUAGGCUAUGAUAUUGGGGUCAUGAGUGGUGCUGCAUUGUUUAUCAGGCAAGAUCUCAAGAUCACAUCAGUCCAGGUGGAAAUCCUUGUUGGGUGCUUAAAUGUGUGUUCUCUAAUUGGGUCUCUUGCUUCAGGCAAGACUUCAGAUUGGAUUGGAAGGAGGUACACCAUAAUGGUUGCUGCAGCAACAUUCCUGAUCGGUGCUAUUCUGAUGGGGUUAGCUCCUUCAUUUCUGUUCCUCAUGGCUGGUCGUGUAGUUGCUGGCAUUGGUGUUGGUUACUCUCUCAUGAUUUCACCAGUGUAUGUGGCUGAGCUCUCUCCUGCACUCACCAGAGGGCUUCUCACAUCACUCCCUGAAGUCUUCAUUAGUGUUGGCAUUUUACUUGGUUAUGUCUCCAACUAUGCAUUUUCAAGCCUCCCUAAUGACAUAAAUUGGAGAAUCAUGCUUGGUGUUUCGGCCUUUCCAGCUGUUGCAGUGGCACUUGGCGUGUUGGCAAUGCCCGAAUCACCUCGCUGGCUGGUAGUGAAGGGAAGAUAUGAGGAAGCAAAACAAGUUUUGAUUAGAACAUCAGAUAAUAAAGGAGAAGCUGAAUUGAGGCUUGCUGAGAUACAAGAAGCUGCUUCUGCUUCCAUCACAAACAAGGACAAAGAACGUUCUUCUUCUGAUUCUCCCAAUAAUUCAGGAACUUGGCAUGGACAAGGAGUUUGGAAGGAGUUGCUUGUCACACCUACUUGUCCUGUUUUGAGAAUCCUUGUUGCUGCCAUUGGUGUUAACUUCUUCAUGCAGGCUUCUGGGAAUGAUGCAGUGAUAUAUUACAGCCCUGAAGUGUUUAAGGAAGCUGGGAUUGUGAAUGAGAAGCAGCUUGUGGGGGUUACAAUCAUCAUGGGAAUAACCAAGACAUGUUUUGUUUUGAUUUCAGCCAUGUUUAUGGAUCGGUUUGGACGAAGACCUUUGUUGAUGUUGGGCUCAUGUGGCAUGGCAAUGUCGUUGUUCUUGCUGGGCUUUGGUUGCACCUUCCUUAGGCUCUAUGGUGACACACAUGAUGGAUUGGUCAUUGCCUUGUGUGUGGUUGCUGUGUGUGCUACAGUUUCAUUCUUUUCUAUUGGGCUUGGGCCCACAACUUGGGUGUAUUCUUCAGAGAUUUUUCCUCUUAGGCUAAGGGCCCAAGGUUCCAGCUUGGCCAUUUCUGUGAACCGUGUGGUGAGUGGGAUUGUGUCCAUGACAUUCCUUAGUAUCUCAGAGGCAAUAACAUUUGGGGGCAUGUUCUUUGUGCUUGGUGGGGUGAUGGUGUGUGCCACACUCUUUUUUUAUUUCUUCUUACCAGAGACCAAAGGCAAAAGCUUAGAGGAGAUUGAAGCUUUGUUUGAAGAUCAGACACCAUCAGUCUAAGAGAUUAGAAGUCUUGAUCUUUAUAUGAAGUACAAUUUCUGAAGUUGAAGAAAAAUUGGUGCUGCUGUCUUUCAUGAGACAGACACACAAAUAAGAACAAAACAUGAUCCAGAUGCCAAUCUUGCGGACUCUGUUCUCAUCAAAAACCUUAUGUCAGAAGAAAAUAAUACAAUAUGUCACGGGUGUAUUUGUAUCAAUCAAACAUUUCAUUUAUGCUUGCUAUGUUCCUGAGAGAGAUUUCUUUCAUAAAUGCAAAUGGAUGAUAGACAAAACAUAUUCACAUCAAAAUUUAUCAACCUGCUGCAAUUGUUUAUUCUUUUGAGAAGAAUUGAAUGUGUCUGAUUCACAAGAUUGUGAUGAGAAAAUGAUCAUGUCUCUUGAUGAAUAUAAAAUAGGUAGGAGAGUGAUCAAUUAUGAUUGAGAAUGGGUUGAAAAAUAAGAGGCAUAGAGUGUCAUGUGUGUAAUGUAGGAACAGUAUCCUUAAGAAUCAAGCACAGGUAUAUUUAG